GAUGAACGCUGGCGGCGUGCCUAAUACAUGCAAGUCGAGCGAACAGACGAGGAGCUUGCUCCUCUGACGUUAGCGGCGGACGGGUGAGUAACACGUGGAUAACCUACCUAUAAGACUGGGAUAACUUCGGGAAACCGGAGCUAAUACCGGAUAAUAUAUUGAACCGCAUGGUUCAAUAGUGAAAGACGGUUUUGCUGUCACUUAUAGAUGGAUCCGCGCCGCAUUAGCUAGUUGGUAAGGUAACGGCUUACCAAGGCAACGAUGCGUAGCCGACCUGAGAGGGGGAUCGGCCACACUGGAACUGAGACACGGUCCAGACUCCUACGGGAGGCAGCAGUAGGGAAUCUUCCGCAAUGGGCGAAAGCCUGACGGAGCAACGCCGCGUGAGUGAUGAAGGUAUUCGGAUCGUAAAACUCUGUUAUUAGGGAAGAACAAAUGUGUAAGUAACUAUGCACGUCUUGACGGUACCUAAUCAGAAAGCCACGGCUAACUACGUG
rnacentral:rRNA from 1 species